ACCAGGAGCAGGACCCGCGCAGGCUGGCCCACUGGUCCCUGAGGGGGAGGAGGAAGAGUGGGUGCAGAAGAACCCCCCCAACCCCCGGCCAAGCCCAGCCUCCAGCAGGGCCCCACUGACCCACAGAGCACGGCAAGCCCAGCGAAGCCCAGACCACAGAAUCGCAGAUGCAAGAUGAUGAAAACAUUUACUGUUGUAUGCACGGGGUCUCGUGUUUUUAACUCAGCAAAAGGCUUUUAUCAUCUGUUGGCUCUCUUCCUGGCCAGAACGUAAACUUCACGAGGGCAGGAGUCUCAGGCUUAAUUCACGGCUUCAAAUGGUGCCUGUAGGCAGUAGCCAGGCCAGAGAUAUCUAUCCAAGAAAUGCCUUUUCUUUUUCCAGUCCGGGCCUUUUAGGACAGCUCCUGGCCUGCCCUGGCCUUCUGAGCCAUGAGUCAAUGCCAGCUUUGAGGCAACAGAAAAGAAUGAGAGAGGGUGGUUAGAAGUGGGAUGACGGGCUGGACGUAUGCAUCCAUCCUUCAAGACAGAUGCACAUGUCAUUGAACUUAAAAAGACAAGAUAAGAAAAGCAGCUCUGUGGGAACACGGAAACGCCCACCGGGCAUGGAGUCAGAACAGGGUCAGGUCCCAGCUGUCCUGACAUUGUCCCUCCGUGGGGCAGCCUGCCCUGGCCCAGGGACGCCCAGACACAUCUGGGCAGAAGCCAGAACCACCCAGCCCAGCUGUGCUAGGGUCCCCGAUGGGGCGCUGGUUCUUGCUAUUUCAUAUUAAAACCCCCUGAGGGUGAAGGAAC
rnacentral:lncRNA from 1 species